rnacentral:rRNA from 1 species
AUUGAACGCUGGCGGAAUGCUUUACACAUGCAAGUCGAACGGUAGAGGGGGCAACCCCUCGAGAGUGGCGAACGGGUGAGUAAUAUAUCGGAGCGUGCCCAGUCGUGGGGGAUAACGUAGCGAAAGUUACGCUAAUACCGCAUACGAUCUAAGGAUGAAAGCGGGGGAUCGCAAGACCUCGCGCGAUUGGAGCGGCCGAUAUCAGAUUAGGUAGUUGGUGGGGUAAAGGCUCACCAAGCCAACGAUCUGUAGCUGGUCUGAGAGGACGACCAGCCACACUGGAACUGAGACACGGCCCAGACUCCUACGGGAGGCAGCAGUGGGGAAUUUUGGACAAUGGACGCAAGUCUGAUCCAGCCAUUCCGCGUGCAGGAUGAAGGCCCUCGGGUUGUGAACUGCUUUUGUACGGAACGAAAAGGUCUCUCUUAAUACGGGGGACUCAUGACGGUACCGUAAGAAUAAGCACCGGCUGACUACGUGCCAGCCGCCGCCGUAA